GACGAACGCUGGCGGCGUGCUUAACACAUGCAAGUCGAACGGAAAGGCCCUGCUUUUGUGGGGUGCUCGCGUGGCGAACGGGUGAGUAACACGUGAGUAACCUGCCCUUGACUUUGGGAUAACUUCAGGAAACUGGGGCUAAUACCGGCUAGGAGCUCCUGCUGCAUGGUGGGGUUUGGAAAGUUUCGGCGGUUGGGGGUGGACUUUGGGCUUAUCAGCUUGUUGGUGGGGUAGUGGCUUACCAAGGCUUUGACGGGUAGCCGGCCUGAGAGGGUGAACGGCCACAUUGGGACUGAGAUACGGCGCAGACUCCUACGGGAGGCAGCAGGGGGGAAUAUUGCACAAUGGGCGGAAGCCUGAUGCAGCAACCCCGCGUGCGGGAUGACGGCCUUCGGGUUGUAAACCGCUUUCGCCUGUGACGAAGCGUGAGUGACGGUAAUGGGUAAAGAAGCACCGGCUAACUACGUG
rnacentral:rRNA from 1 species